rnacentral:rRNA from 1 species
ACGGGAGGCAGCAGUGGGGAAUAUUGCACAAUGGGCGCAAGCCUGAUGCAGCGACGCCGCGUGAGCGAAGAAGUAUUUCGGUAUGUAGAGCUCUAUCAGCAGGGAAGAUAAUGACGGUACCUGACUAAGAAGCACCGGCUAAAUACGUGCCAGCAGCCGCGGUAAUACGUAUGGUGCAAGCGUUAUCCGGAUUUACUGGGUGUAAAGGGAGCGUAGGCGGUUUUACAAGUCUGAUGUGAAAGCCCGGGGCUCAACUCCGGUAUUGCAUUGGAAACUGUAGAACUAGAGUGUCGGAGGGGUAAGUGGAAUUCCUAGUGUAGCGGUGAAAUGCGUAGAUAUUAGGAGGAACACCAGUGGCGAAGGCGGCUUACUGGACGAUUACUGACGCUGAGGCUCGAAAGCGUGGGGAGCAAACAGGAUUAGAUACCCUGGUA